rnacentral:lncRNA from 1 species
CGAACUAAAGUAUGACUGAAUAUCUGGGAUCUAAAAUUGAGACAUAAUACAUGAACUGAGAUGAACAUGCAACUACCUGGUUGGUCUAUCUUAGAUUAGUUACAUUCAUAAGACAUUCAGACAGGGCGACUAGAUGGAAAGGUGGAAAUCACACCACAUGAACUUAUCUGUAUGACUGCUAAUACUAAAUUAUAGGCUUUACGGACUAACUCAUACUAAAAAAUUA